AAGUCGAGCGAACGGACGAGAAGCUUGCUUCUCUGAUGUUAGCGGCGGACGGGUGAGUAACACGUGGAUAACCUACCUAUAAGACUGGGAUAACUUCGGGAAACCGGAGCUAAUACCGGAUAAUAUUUUGAACCGCAUGGUUCAAAAGUGAAAGACGGUCUUGCUGUCACUUAUAGAUGGAUCCGCGCUGCAUUAGCUAGUUGGUAAGGUAACGGCUUACCAAGGCAACGAUGCAUAGCCGACCUGAGAGGGUGAUCGGCCACACUGGAACUGAGACACGGUCCAGACUCCUACGGGAGGCAGCAGUAGGGAAUCUUCCGCAAUGGGCGAAAGCCUGACGGAGCAACGCCGCGUGAGUGAUGAAGGUCUUCGGAUCGUAAAACUCUGUUAUUAGGGAAGAACAUAUGUGUAAGUAACUGUGCACAUCUUGACGGUACCUAAUCAGAAAGCCACGGCUAACUACGUGCCAGCAGCCGCGGUAAUACGUAGGUGGCAAGCGUUAUCCGGAAUUAUUGGGCGUAAAGCGCGCGUAGGCGGUUUUUUAAGUCUGAUGUGAAAGCCCACGGCUCAACCGUGGAGGGUCAUUGGAAACUGGAAAACUUGAGUGCAGAAGAGGAAAGUGGAAUUCCAUGUGUAGCGGUGAAAUGCGCAGAGAUAUGGAGGAACACCAGUGGCGAAGGCGACUUUCUGGUCUGUAACUGACGCUGAUGUGCGAAA
rnacentral:rRNA from 2 species